GUGCUCGCUCUGGCAGCACAUAUACUAAAAUACAAACAAUAAAGAGAAGAUUAGCAUGGCCCCUGCGCAAAGAAAACAUGCGAAUUCGUAAAGCGUUCCAUAAUAAA